rnacentral:rRNA from 1 species
GUGGGGAAUAUUGGACAAUGGGGGGAACCCUGAUCCAGCCAUGCCGCGUGUGUGAAGAAGGCCUUUUGGUUGUAAAGCACUUUAAGCGAGGAGGAGGCUACCGAGAUUAAUACUCUUGGAUAGUGGACGUUACUCGCAGAAUAAGCACCGGCUAACUCUGUGCCAGCAGCCGCGGUAAUACAGAGGGUGCAAGCGUUAAUCGGAUUUACUGGGCGUAAAGCGCGCGUAGGUGGCCAAUUAAGUCAAAUGUGAAAUCCCCGAGCUUAACUUGGGGAUUGCAUUCGAUACUGGUUGGCUAGAGUAUGGGAGAGGAUGGUAGAAUUCCAGGUGUAGCGGUGAAAUGCGUAGAGAUCUGGAGGAAUACCGAUGGCGAAGGCAGCCAUCUGGCCUAAUACUGACACUGAGGUGCGAAAGCAUGGGGAGCAAACAGGAUUAGAUACCCGAGUAGUCC